CCUACGGGUGGCAGCAGUGGGGAAUAUUGCACAAUGGGGGAAACCCUGAUGCAGCGACGCCGCGUGAGUGAAGAAGUAUUUCGGUAUGUAAAGCUCUAUCUGCAGGGAAGAAGAAAGACGGUACCUGACUAAGCAGCCCCGGCUAACUACGUGCCAGCCGCCUCGGUAAUAGGUAGGGGGCAAGCGUUAUCCGGAUUUCAUGGGGUUAAAGGGAGCGUAGACGGUUGUGCAAGUCUGAAGUGAAAGCCCAGGGCUCAACCCUGGGACUGCUUUGGAAACUGGGGAGCUAGAGUGCUGGAGAGGUAAGUGGAAGUCCUAGUGUAGCGGUGAAAUGCGUAGAUAUCAGGAGGAACACCAGUGGCGAAGGCGGCUUACUGGACAGUAACUGACGUUGAGGCUCGAAAGCGUGGGGAGCAAACAGGAUUAGAUACCCCAGUAGUC
rnacentral:rRNA from 1 species